AUUUCUGGUAGAUCUGAGCCACAUCAUUUUGCUGUACUUUUCAAGUCUUCCUCUUUCCUGAAGUCAUCUUCAUCACUAUAGAUGAUGAAAUAUCUCCAUUUGUAACAUUGGCUGAGUACACAACUUUAGAUCUUCAUCACUGUCGACGAUGAAAUGUCUCCGGUUUUGACGUAAAAUAAGAAAAGAUGUGGGGGAUUUUAAGGCAAAAAGCCGGAGGAGUUACCGGAUUAUCCUCUCAGGGUUUGGGGAAUCAGAUGUUGAGGUUAAGGCAUGUAGCAUCAGCUAUGAGAAGUUUUGCCGUACUUUUCGAGUCUUGGCUUUCCUGAAGCCAUCUUCAUCACUGUCAACGAUGAAAUAUCUCCGUUUGUAACAUUGGCUGAGUACACAACUUUAGAGGAUUUUGUACAGGCUAUUACUCUUCCUCUUGCAAUCGAGACUUCUUGUGAAGGUCUAGAAUGGGCUAGCUUUGGUGA
rnacentral:lncRNA from 1 species